GCCGGGGUGGUGGAACUGGUAGACACGCACGUUUGAGGGGCGUGUGGGGAAACCCGUACGAGUUCGAGUCUCGUCCCCGGCACCA
rnacentral:tRNA from 2 species